UCCAGCUUUCUAAUCUUAUUUCCAACUUGACACCAUCUCCCCAGACAAUAUGUUUAGCCCACCUGCAUGUUAGCUGUAGACCUCAGGCAAAAAUUAGUGAAGUCUCGGGCUCCUUGAAAUAUACCUGAAACAGACUUCAUAACUUUUUCUAAAAUGGAGACCCCAAAUUUCAUCUGCUAUAUUCUUACCUUUAGGAUGCUAGUUAUUAAACAAUUUGUUUUGUUUUAGAUCUUAAUGCUUUUUCAGUCCCCAAGCUACAGAUGUUACCAUGACACCAACCUGACUUCCCUGGGCAGGGGACCUCACAAAUGUGCCCUUGGAGCCCCACCUUCCCAGAGCCCUGCCCCAAUAGGGAAAUAUAGAAACAGGCUGGGGGUAUGGAUUGACCUGCCAACACCCAUGUACAGAAGCCAGAUCUCCCAGAUUUUGCACCCCAUAAGGAUCCUGGGUCCAUGCUCCCAGAGGGAUAAAGAAUAGAAAUACUUCCAAUGGAAGGGAUGGGAUGUGGAACUCCGGUGGUGGGAAUUGUGUGGACUUUUACCCUUAUUAUACUACGGUCUUGUCAAGCAUUAUUAAAUUUAAAAAAUGCCACUUUAUGUAACCUUCAUUCUCUGUAUAAGACCACACUGUGUUUAGUCUUUGUUUAAGAAAUGAGAUAUCCUUGGUGUUGAAGUCAUGGUAGGAUGAGCUCCUUAGGCCGAUGCUUGGGGUGUAUGUUGUGAAAUGUGAAAGAGGGGCCGGGGAGUCCUCAGUGGUGGUUAGACAGGGUGAGAACAUGGAUAACAUGGAUGGGAGAGAACGGUGAGGGCUUUCAGGGUGUCCACAGUAGAACAUUGUAGAAGUGUGGGCACCCCUGCAUGAGGGGCCAAGUGUCACUUCUCAUCUCCCUCACAGACUUGGAUAAAGGCUGGAGAGAGGGGGCGGGGUGGGGGGCUGAAAAGCUGUUAUCACUCACACACCAGCAAUGGCACCAGACUCUAUUAAACUCUAGCACCUCCUGCAAGCCUGCCAGAAGUCACCUUUUCAGUGACACCUAUCUGAUGGCUUUGUUUAAGAUUACAGUUACCUCACUCUCCUCACCCCCCAGGCCCUGAAUUCUCUUUUUUGAGAAUUUUUUUCAGUUCCCCUCCUCACUCCAAUCACCUUCCUACCAAUACAACUCUAUAGACCUCUUUAAAAAUUAUUAAUGAUUUAAUAAUGAUGAGCAAGACUGUUAAGAUAAUGGGCACAAUGACACACAGUUCUCACCACUAGAGUUCCAUGUCUCAUCCCCUCCAAUGGAAGCCUCCCAAUUCUUUAUCCCUCUGGUAGCAUGGACCCAAAUUCUUUAUGGCGAGCAGGAGGUGGGAGUCCUGGCUUCUGUAAUUGCUUCUCCACUGGACAUGGGUGUUGGCAGGUGGAUCCACACCUCCAGUCUGUUUUUGUCUUUUCUUAGUGGGGCAGGGCUCUGGGGAGGAGAGGUUUUAUGACACAUGGGUGAGAUUGUCUGCCCAGGGAAGUCAAGUUGGCAUCGUGGUAACUAGACCUCUUAUUACAUUAGCUCACUUUUCUUUUUAUUGAACUAUCAGUAGUUAAGGUUUAGUAAUCCACUCGCUUGACUCUAAGUGAUGUGUUUCCAGCAGUGAUUCUUGACAGCUUGCUGAGAGUUUCCCUUUCCCCAGAAAGAUGCUGACAGUGUUUGAUGGCACAGACUGUUGCCUCUCUCUUGUUUAUUAAAUGUCUACUUUAUUAUUUAGGAAGAAAUGUGCUCUUGGCUCCUGGUGGAUAUGCCCCCUUCCUGCACCAGCCUGUUCCUUGAUGUUUAUUCAGGCACAGGGCUCACAGGUCUGGGCACCUGAGACUGAAGUUCUGAAGACCUUAAAUAACAUAUUGCAGUUCAAGGCACAAUUGUCUAGACACCACUUUUCUGAAGGUUCCAUAAGGAGAUAAUUGUGUCAUGCAAGCUGUCAGUCUUUGGGCUUCUGUAUCCAUCACAACAGUAGCAAGAGAAGAAGAUUCUCAGCAGAUGUAGCCAGCUGCAAUGAGGAAGGAGCCUUAAGUCAAACCAAGACCCUCUCUUGUGCUUACUGCCAGGAGCAGGCCCAGGUCAGGCCCAGAAGUGUGUCUGCACAUCCUGCCCCAGCUCCCUCCCUCCCUGACUGCAAAGGCCACAACAUGCAGAUGGAGGCAGAGGUGAACCCUGGAGACAAAAGUUGAAACUGAUACACAUGAACUUGAAAAAAAAGGAGCAAGCAAACUCUAUUCAACCUCCCCUCGUCCACCCACGAAGAUCCAGAGGAGUCCCUGCCUGCUGACAGGCUGGCUUCCCUUCCCUGGCAAAAGCCUGGAAUCAACAGGAAGGGGAACAGAAGCAUCUGGAAGUGUCAGGUAGUCUGAUCAUCAAAUCACACUUCUUGAGCAACCUGAAGGUGGGAAGCUCUGUGCCCAGGAGGGAAGAAGCUGGUUGGAUGGGGAAGCAGUGCAGAACCACAGAGGGGGCAGACUCACCUGCUGGCCGAGAAAACUGGUUCCUGUGUACAAGUAGCUACCAACCAGCUCUCAUCUGCACUUGGCUGUUGAUCAUUUGACUGAGGAGUAAGUAGUGUGCAGCAUAUGGAGCUGCCAUUUGAGUAGGUCAAGAUAGAUCACACCUCAUUCAGCUGGUCAGCAACUAGCCCACACAGACUGUUGGUAUGCUUCUAGUUCUGCUUCUGGGACCCCUUCUGUUACAUUGCUUGACAUUGUGGUCUAUUUACAUGGUCAUUCUGUUACAUUGGUUUGGUCUCGCUCCCCCUGCCUCCGGGAGAUUUUGGUUUAGUCCUUGCUUGUUGGCACUCUUUUCCUUCUCCCUGCCACCUAACGUACAU